GUCUUUCUAGUAUAUUUAAGUACAGCUGACUUCCAAUCAGCUAGUCUGAGCCCCCUCAGGAUAGACA
rnacentral:tRNA from 1 species